CAACCUGCUGCGGGGCAAUAAAGUGAAUAUGUGUAUCCAGGCCGCCGGCGGUGACGAUCAGUCCUUCCGCGGCAAGCGCUUCGGUGGAAGCCCCCACAGUCAUGCCCGGGGUUACGCCGUCCAUGACGGAGGGAUUUCCGGCUUUUCCGAUGCCGGCGAUUUUUCCGUCCUUGAUGCCGAUAUCUGCUUUAUAGAUUCCGGUAUAGUCGACGAUCAGGGCAUUGGUGAUGACAAGAUCCAGAUCCCCGUCGGCGCUGCAGGUUUUUACUGACUGGCCCAUGCCGUCGCGC
rnacentral:sRNA from 1 species